UCUACUAUAUCUCAUCUUUCUCAUUUCUAAUCCGAUUGCUUUACAAAAUUUCAUGGGCAGAAGAAUUUGCACCAUGUCCUACUUAUAAUCUCCUCAAACGGGCAGAAAGAUCAAUGAACACAUCCUCUUUGCAAUGUAUUGUAAGAUCACCCGUUGGAUGAUCAAAGCCAAACUCUUCUUCAGCUUGAGCUAGCAAGUCUUGAAAUGAUGGUUGGUUCAAGUAUGAUACUGGCACGACAAAUCUCUUCUUUUGACUCUCUCCUACAUAUACGGCACAAUGACCUUUUGGAACACCUCCUGAUGUUGAAGACUUCCUUAGGAUUCCCAUUAUCACAAGGUAUAUUUGGUACACUCUAAAUGGUGACGGAAAAGAAAGAACAAGAAUUUGGAGAACUGCACAGAAAAACUACGUAUACUGCACAAUGACCUUUUGGAACAACUCCUGAUGUUGAAGACCUCCUUAGGAUUCCCAUUUUCGUAAGGUAUGUUUGGUAAACUCCAAAUGGUGAAGGAAAAGAAAGAACAGGAAUUUGGAGGACUGCACAGAAAAAAGAAAGUUUGAUUAACUGUCUAGAUACUUCUGGUUUGCUCAAAUGUUUUGUGUCCGAGUAUAUAUACAAGUUAACGGAAAGUUUGAUACGGAACGGGUGAGAGACAAUGGCACAUGAAGUUUCACAUGGUUUUGCCUACUCCAUUAUUAUUGUCAAAAUAUCAGGCCAUUUAUUGAUGACUUAGUCCUGGACCACUUGAUUUGAAGAUAUGGUGACAGAGAAUUGAAUAAAUGCAUCAACCUCUAUAAUUAAAACUAGACAACUUAUAAUCCUUCAUCCUUCCAUCCACAAACUUAAGGUCCCGUAUAAGCAUAGCCAACUAGCAUCAGCACAUGGCUUUGCCCUCGGUGGUUAGUGACAAAAACUUCAGCUCCAACCCAAAGCCUGUCUACAACUUUUAUAUCAAUAACCUCCCUUCUAUGAACAUUUUUCAUUAUCAAUUUAGACACCAAAUUGUUCUAAAUUUCUAGUUUACUUUAUUGUUCCCAAUCUUCCAAGAAAAAUGGCAAUUCUCAGUGAUAAGAAACUCAGCAAGAUGGCCAGGAGAUGGCAGAAAUUUGCAGCAAAGCAGAGGAAGAGAAUUUCUUUUGCAAGAAAUGGUAGUAAUACCGAUAGUUGUAGUACAUCUUCAUCCUCUCUAGUUGAAAAAGGCCAUUUUGUAGUCUGUACAAUUGAUCAAAGGCGCUAUGCAUUUCCCUUGACUUACCUUGAAAAUGAGGUCGUUAGGCAACUUUUAAGCGUCUCCGAAGAAGAGUUUGGACUACCAAGUGGUGGCCCUAUUAUAUUACCCUGUCAUUCAACCUUCAUGGACUAUACCAUUUCACUAAUCAAGAAAGGUGUAGCUGAUGGAGUUCUUCACAACGCGUUGCUCCACACAAUACCUUCAUGUUGCUUCUCAACUUCUUCUUGCCACCAAGAAACUGGAAAUCAACAGAUUCUUGUUUAUUGAGUCAUGAAAUCAUGUUUUUGUAAUGUUAGCUCAAAAUAGAUUGUAUAGCAAUUAGCAGGUGAAAGUAGACAACUGAAAGCUUGUAUUAUUACAGAUCGGAAUAGAGCCUUUGUCUUGAAAUUAACAUUCUCAUCUUGGAGUAACACUAUUAUCUUAUUUGAAGAAAACAACUUUGUCGAUCGAAAUUUACAGACAUAUGAAUCACGCCAACGCAAGUCUAAAUGACAAGAGAAUUAACUGUAAAAAGUUUAAAUUAAGUGAGAUCAUAAAGUAUUCCUCUUUCAGAUUUUUAGCAGUUAAUUUUUAUACUUGAUCAAUCUAGAUUGAAAGGAAGCUGCGAAUUACAACAAUCAUUUAGAAUGUAAUGACAAAGCUCAGUGGUUACUCCUACAUUAUACUAAUCGGCCGCCACUUUGAUUCUUCUUUCUGGUAAUGUUUUAUUCAUAUCCAAAUGUACAAAUAAAUCUUACAAUAGUCACAAAUAUAUCAAGCUAUUUACACAGUAAUUCUCAAUUAGCUUAUGACUCGGAUGUAAAUAAGUCAUACAUCAAGACACUUGGGGGUCGGUCCAUCCCUAGAAACACGGGAUGCUUUGUGCUCCGGGAUGCCAUUUUAUCAAGACAUAUUGCAAGACAACUGUUGAAAUCAAGUGGUUUAGCAAGUUGUAAUGAUCAAGAAGACUUAGAAUAGCACAUUUACGUAGCAUUACAAGAUCAUGGUCUCCAAUAUGUUUAGUGGAAAUAAAGAAUAAAGAAGCCUCAAGUUUAAACUAGUUAUGUAGAGCCUUUACGAUGUCCUAUUUGGCCAACAUACCUUUCUCUUGCUUCUUUGAUAGAAGUGCCACGACCCGAACCAGGGACCUAGCCGUGACGAGCAUUCCGAACCAUGAAGGCCCGAAACACCCCUAUUUGUUUGAUAAUCAUGUACAUAACUCAUAUGAUAAAAGAAAUGUGGAAGAUAAACGAUAUUACGGAAACAUGGUCAAGAAUCAUAUGAAAUCAAUAAUGGGGAAUAAUGUCCCACAAUCUCAACACAAUAUCUCUAUAACGUCUGUGAAAUCUCUACUACAUGACUGAAACAAAUAUCUAUCUGCAAAACUGGGACAAGGUCCCUAGUAGACCCAAAACUAAUAAAUGAUAAGUGAAAAUGCCAGAUAUCAGGCCUUUUGAAAUAUAGAAGGCUCACCAAGUGACUCUGCAAAUCUGUUUAAGGAAUCUAAUGAUUUUCUGGAUCCCUAGACUGUGCCUCCGAACCUGGGAGGGAAGGGGAUCAAUACAAAAGUACUGGUACGCAGAGAUAUCAAAACAAAACAUAAUAUUUUUACAAAUUAUAGUUGAGAGCCAUUAUAAAGCAGUUUCAUGUCAAAUUAUUUGAAAACACAUGUGCGUAAUGUAGUUGUUUUCAACAAUAAUGUAAUGCAGCUGAGCUAGCUGGAAUACCCUACAUAUCACAUUUACACCAACUAUCAACCCUCGGUUGCCGCCGAGAUUAGAGUAUAAGUGAGGGGAAGAAACACAAGAUCACACAGGGUGUCUCGACCCAAUGGUAGUGCACAAGAUCACAAAGCAGGGCUCCUAACCAUAGUCCCAACUUGGGAAUGACAUAAAUUCAGGUAAGCAAUAUCACAAAGUAGGGUACCAAAUUCCCAUGUCAGCAAACCCAGUUUCCAGCGAUGAGCCCUUACACUCAAACGCCUUCUUCGGGCAUCCACCUAUCUCAUGUAAAAUCAAUGCAUUCAAAUUUCAUCUGAUUCAAUCACAUAUCAUAUUCUGUAGGGUAUCGUCAUACCCGACUUGCAUACCAUCAAUAUCACAUCAUUCUUCUCAUUCAACCAUUGUAUUCAACAUGUUUCAACGCAAAUAGCCUUCUCGUUUUCAAGUCAAAAUCAUAUCAAUUCUCAAAACAUUUCAUGUCAUGCUUUUCAAGACGUUUUCAAACAAUUUAAAUCUUAUGAAAAUAUAAAACAAGUUCACAUCAAGAGAGGGAUUCCAUAUAAUUCAUGCUCUCAAAUUAACACCUUUUCAAAACACAUGCAUAUACAUAUAUAAUAUGUCAAAUCACUUCGAAAAUAGGCCUAAAGACCAAAUCAAUAUUAUAGAAACAUUCAAAACAUGAUUAUAUUUGUAGUUUAGAAACCCCCAUUGUAAAACAUGAAUUUAAAGGCCCAUGAGAUUUUAGGAUAACCCCACGUACCUCUAUAUGCGAUGAUGAUAGGUGUUUUUUGAAGCCUAUGUUCUGGGGAUUCCAAAUAUGCAAUUAGUUUCAAAAACCCACGGUUGAAUCUUGAGUUGCUUGGGUUUUUAUUUUGAAACCCUGAGGAGAUUUCUUGGGCAAUUUUGAUGAAUGAAGGUAAUUUCAUAUUUAUGGCUAAAUAAGGGUGGGAAAAGGACCAUUUUGAUCCAAAAAAGGAGUAUUUAAGUUACUUGAGUAGUAAUGUAUGUGGCACACACCUUAUCGCAUAAUAUAGGUUGUGCGGUGCAUUCUUUAUCGCACACAUUAGGUUGUGCACCGCACACCUUAUGGCAUAAGUUAGGGUGUGCGUUGUACACCUUAUGCUGCACGACACACUCAACUUUGCAAAGCCAUAACUUCUUCCUCGGGUGUCGGAUUUUUGCGAAAUUGGUAUCAUUGGAAAAAUAAUUCGAAGGCCUUUCAUUUGAUAUGUAGUAGGCACUCUAAUUCAAUAUAUCUUAAGAGUAAUGACCGAUUGAAUUUGACCCAAGUUUUGACGCUUACUAAAACACAAUCGAUGGAAAAGCUUUCCACUCGUCCUUGAAAUAGGGGACCUCUAUGAUCUCAAUUCAUGCUCAACUAGAUUUAUACACCACAUAGUUGAUUAAAACACUAUAUUCACAAUAGAUUUAUAAUGCUUGGAAUGUGUACAAGUAGAAAUGACAAUUUACGUUCAAGUCUGAAAGUAUGGGGUGUUACAAGAAGUGACAGAAAACACAACAAAAGAAAGCAUCAAAUUCAGCAAAUCCCCUAAUUCCAGAUAGAUAGGUCAAGAAUCUUAACUGAACUCACAAUCAUCUUAUUUCACAACUCAUUUUCGCUUCUACUAAACAUGAUAUGGAGUUCACAUUCCCAGAAAAAUUUGAGAUUUACUAUACAUCGGGGAAUUCGGAGCAUGUUGAAUUACCAGUUUUAACAUACAACCACAAAGGAGGGGUCCAAGAAACUGUAACUAGUGAUAGUAGUACUUAAUUGCAUGUGUCGAUUUAGCCAGCAGAAAAGUUGUGCAAAAUUUCAGGCAUAUUUAUCUACUGAAUGAGGAGACAUGAACGAACAAAAGGUUCUAGCAAAUUUGCUUAAAUAAAACUUGGGUAUAUCCAUUUUACAGGAGGUUGGUCAGUUUAACUCAACUUUACAAGAACAUUAUUCUUGUUUACUAUUACUAUACGAAAUGGUUAAGAAAAAAACAAGAAAUUGCUUUCUCGAUGUCUACUAUCUGUAUAGCUUUGUCAUUUCUAAUCCUAUUGCUUUACAAAACUUCACGGGCAGAAGAAUUUGCACCAUCUCCUACUUAUAAUCUCCUCAAACGGGUAGUGAGAUCAAUGAAGACAUCCUCUUUGCAAUGUAUUGUAAGACCACCCAUUGGAUGAUCAAACCCAAACUCUUCUUCAGCUUGAGCUAACAAGUCUUGAAAUGAUGGUUGGUUCAAGUAUGAUACUGGCACAACAAAUCUCUUCAUUUGACUCUCUCCUACAUAUAAGGCACAAUGACCUUUUGGAACAUCUCCUGAUGUUGAAGACUUCCUUAGGAUUCC
rnacentral:lncRNA from 1 species